rnacentral:rRNA from 1 species
UACGGAGGGUGCAAGCAUUGAUCGGAAUUACUGGGCGUAAAGGGCGCGUAGGCGGUCUGAAAAGUCGGAUGUGAAAUUCCGGGGCUCAACCCCGGAGCUGCAUUUGAAACUUUCGGACUUGAGGUUGGUAAGGGAAAACGGAAUUCCACGUGUAGCGGUGAAAUGCGUAGAUAUGUGGAAGAACACCGGUGGUGAAGACGGUUUUCUGUGCUAAACCUGACGCUGAGGCGCGAAAGCUAGGGGAGCAAACAGG